rnacentral:rRNA from 1 species
CCUCGUGGAAGGGUAGUGUUUAUUAGAUACAGAACCAACCCACCUUCGGGUGGUCCUCAGGUGAUUCAUAGUAACCGAACGGAUCGCAUUAUGGCCUUUUGGUCGGCGAUGGAUCAUUCAAGUUUCUGACCUAUCAGCUUUCGACGGUACUGUAUUGGACUACCGUGGCAGUGACGGGUAACGGGGAAUUAGGGUUCGAUUCCGGAGAGGGAGCCUGAGAAACGGCUACCACAUCUAAGGAAGGCAGCAGGCGCGCAAAUUACCCAAUCCUGACUCAGGGAGGUAGUGACAAGAAAUAACAACACUGGAAAUUAUAUUUCUAGUGAUUGGAAUGAUGGGAAUCCAAACCCCUUUCAGAGUAACAAUUGGAGGGCAAGUCUGGUGCCAGCAGCCGCGGUAAUUCCAGCUCCAAUAGCGUAUAUUAAAGUUGUUGCAGUUAAAAAGCUCGUAGUUGGAUAUCUGCUGGAAGCAGCCAGUCCGCCCUUUGUGGGUGUGCACUUGGUGAAUUCUGGCAUCCUCCUGAUUGGUGUUAUCAUCACUUCAUUGUGUUGAUGGCAGCUGUCAGGACCGUUACUUUGAGAAAAUUAGAGUGUUUCAAGCAGGCUUGUUGCCUUGAAUACUGCAGCAUGGAAUAACAAGAUAGGAUUUCGGUUCUAUUUUGUUGGUUUCUAGGACUGAAGUAAUGAUUAAUAGGGACAGUUGGGGGCAUUCGUAUUUAACUGUCAGAGGUGAAAUUCUUAGAUUUGUUAAAGACGAACUACUG